AUGGAUGAUGGAACGGUUGGUGUUCAAGAAUCAAGUGACAUGUGUAUUUCAAGCGAUGAUGAUGGCAUUAAGCAACAAAAUGAACGCAGCGCAGAACUUGAACAUGAACAUAGCGAAGCUCAACCAGAUGCAUUAGUUGCAGAACCUGAAUUGGGGAUGGCCUUUGACACCGAGAAUGAGGUGCGAGAGUAUUACAUCAAAUAUGCUAAAGCAAAAGGCUUUGGUGUGACGAGAAGAAGUUCACACAGUGAUGAUAAUGGGCAACUGAAGUACCUUACACUUUCUUGCUCUCGCUAUGGUAAGACUCAAUCGAAGUCAAGAAAUAUGUUGAAGCCAAAUCCAACAGCCGGGAUAGGAUGUAAAGCUAAAAUUAAUAUUGCACGUGGUCCGGAUGGGAAGCUUCAUCUUUCAACGGCGAUUUUGGAUCAUAAUCACACAUUGAGUCCACAAAAAUCUCGGUUAUUCAGAUGCAAUAAAAAGUUAGAUUUCCAUGUCAAGAGAAGGCUUGAGCUGAAUGACUGCGCUGGAAUACGAGUAAACAAGAAUUUUAAUUCAUUUGUUGUGGCAGCAGAUGGUCAUGACAACCUGACUUUUGGUGAGAAAAAUUGUCGCAAUUUUCUAGAGAAAACUAGAAGGUUAAAACUUGGUAGCGGUGAUGCUGAAGCGGUUCGCGACUAUUUUGUCAAAAUGCAAUCUGCCAAUCCAAAUUUUUUUAGUGUCAUGGAUGUUGAUGAUGAAUCCCGACUUAGGAAUGUUUUUUGGGCUGAUGCCAGAAGUAGAGCAGUGUAUGAGUCUUUUCAUGAUGUCAUUACUUUUGACACGACAUAUUUGAUGAACAAAUAUGAUAUGCCUUUUGCUUGUUUUGUUGGUGUGAAUCAUCAUGGCCAUUCAGUGCUACUUGGGUGUGCUUUAUUAUCAAAUGAAGAUACUGCAACAUUUGUCUGGUUAUUUCAAGCAUGGCUUACAUGUAUGUCAAACCGUCGACCAAAAGCAAUUAUAACUGAUCAAGCAAAAGCAAUUCAGAAUGGUGUGGAAGAAGUUUUCCCGGAAUCUCGAUACAGAUGGUGCUUAUGGCACAUAAUGAAGAAGAUACCCGAGAAGUUGGGUGGGUAUGAUGAAUAUGAUCACAUAAAGGUUGCCAUUGGCAACGCAGUUUAUGAUUCACUGACAAUUACAGAGUUUGAAGUUGCUUGGAUGCAUAUGCUUGAGAAGUAUUGUCUUGCUGAUAAUGAAUGGCUCAAAGGGCUUUAUGAACAUCGACACCGCUGGGUUCCAGCAUUUGUGAAAGAUGCCUUCUGGGUAGGUAUGUCUACUACACAACGUAGUGAGAGUAUGAAUGCCUUCUUUGAUGGAUAUGUUAAUGCAAAAACUACAUUGAAGCAUUUUGUUACCCAAUAUGAGAAUGCUCUUCGUGAUAAAGUUGAGAAGGAGAAUAUUGCUGAUUUUAAUUCCUUCUAUUCAACUAUACCUUGUAUCACACGCUUUGACAUCGAGAAGCAAUUUCAGUCGGCCUAUACAAAUUCGAAGUUCAAAGAAUUUCAAGAAGAGCUAACAGACAUUAUGUACUGUGAUCGAAAGUUAAUACAAAAGCAAGGGGCAAUAGCAACAUAUGAAAUAACCGAGGAUGUGUUAAUUGACAAGGAAAAAGGAUGGAGAAAAGAUAUUGUGUACCAUGUAUAUUUCAAUGAGGAAGAGUUUGAAGUUAAGUGUUCAUGUCGCCGCUUUGAGUUCAGAGGUAUUCUCUGUAGGCAUAUAUUAUGUGUGCUCACUCACAUGAAAAUAAAGGAGGUUCCUCCACAAUACAUCCAUGAUCGGUGGAAAAAGAAUGUGAAAAGAAAGCAUAACUUUAUCAGAUGCACAUAUGGCGGCAUGGAAGACACACCUGUUGCAAAACGCUUUGAUAGAUUGUGUGAAUCUUUCUACCCAAUUGCGGAGAUAGGCGCCAUGUCAGAUGCUUCAUGCAAUUCUUUGACUGAAAAGCUUCACGCUCUCAAAAUUGAGUACUCUAGCAACUCAAUUUCUAAAAAUGACAAGAAUCAGGUUGGCACACAGGAAGAUGCGCCAUCGGAUGGGAAGACAACAAGUAAAACUAUUCUAAGUCCAAUACCUGUUAGAUAUGCUGGACGUCCUCCUUCAUUGAGAAAGGAAUCGAAGGUUGAUAAGCUUAUUCGUCAAGCAAACGAUAAGAAGAAGAAAGCUGAACAAAGGGACAAGAAAAAAGCAGAACAGGAGAAAAAGAAAGCUGAACAAAGGGACAAGAAAAAGGCAGAACAGGAGAAGAAGAAAGCUGAACAGAAGGUAUUGUUGCAUAUGUUACAUUUGUUCAUAAGCUACUUUUUUCUUCUUCUAAAAACUCACAAUUUUUGCAUUUAUUUCAGGCUCACUCCACAAAUUUAA
rnacentral:rRNA from 1 species